GUGUCAGCAGCCGCGGUAAUACGUAGGUGACAAGCGUUAUCCGGAAUUACUGGGCGUAAAGCGCACGCAGGCGGCGCGUUAAGUCUGAUGUGAAAUCUCCUGGCUUAACUGGGAGGGGUCAUUGGAAACUGGCGGGCUUGAGGCGAUGAGAGGGGUGUAGAAUUCCCGGUGUAGUGGUGGAAUGCGUAGAUAUCGGGAGGAAUACCAGUGGCGAAAGCGGCACCCUGGCAUUAGCCUGACGCUCAUGUGCGAAGGCGUGGGGAGCGAACGGGAUUAGAAACCCCCGUAGUCC
rnacentral:rRNA from 1 species